UUCUGGCUUCAGCUUUCCAAGUGUUGAGAUCAUAGGUAUGAGCCGCCAUAACUCAACCUCCUUCCCCUCCCCCCCUUUUUUUAUUAUGCAGGUCAUUAAUCUAAGAAGGCAGUGACCCUUGACUUGCAGAAUCAUCUGAGAAGCAUUUUAAAUAUUGGAUACCUAGGCCCUACCCUGAAUUCCUCAAAAGGUGGUUUGCGGUGCGACUGGGGCACCCCAGGCAAGUCUGUUGUGCGGCAGGAACAGAGCCACAGGCCCAGCGGUUUCUAGCUUUCAGCUAAGAAACCACUCUUAUUUACAUCCUCCUCUACGGAAACACUGUGCCUGCCCUGGAAUGCGCCCUACUCCCACGCCAGGGGAGAUGUGCUAGUUAGUUACUCACUCAAGUGACGCCCAAUCGAAUAGAAGAAAACAGCAACAAAUAGAAAUCAAAGCAGUGCUUUCCCGUCCUACACGGCAGGUCAGGCCGCGCAAGGCCCAAAAUAAAUAGCUAACGGUAAUUCGCUAAAAGUAAAGGGACUUCUACAAGAAUUCCUUGCAAGGUCGAAGGGUCUAGGGAAAAGCGGGGGUACACUGGUAGGCCUUGCCUGCUCCCAUAGCAGAAGCCCGAACGCUCAGUCGGUAGAGCAUGAGACUCUUAAUCUCAGGGUCGUGGGUUCGAGCCCCACGUUGGGCGCCAAGGGGGAAGUGCUGUGGAAUGUUCUGUAUGGCAAAUGUGUUGCUAAUUAGUUAAUAAAUAAAACACUGAUUGGCCAUUGGCUAGGCAGGAAGUGUAGGCGGGACAAGGAGGAGAAAAAAGCUGGGAAGUGGAAGGCUGAGUCAGAGAGACACUGCCAGCCGCCACGAUGAGAAACAGAAUGUGAAGAUACCGGAGGAGUCUGGGGACCGCCCUUUAUGACCUGCAGACUACACUCACCUGUCUGUCCAAGCUGACUGCAGGAGGAACCGCUCAUCCAUGCCUGCCCUGCUUUUGGGCACAUGAGUAGAUCAAGAAAUAUGGAUUCUUACUGUACACAGGUUAAAGGCCCAACUCCAUGUCUCUUGAAAAACAGUCCAAGGAUUUUUUACUCAGAUCUACUGGAGACACACCUGGACAUGUCCUUGCUUGCCCACAGAGGUUUAUCCGAGGAGAGAAGAUCCACCCUGACUAUGAGGUCAUGACAUCCCAUACACUGGGGUUCCAGACUGAAUAAAAAGGAAAAAUAGGAGAAAGUGAACUAAAUGGUCUCACUAUGUAUUUGGCUUGAACUUGCUAUACAGAUCAGGCUGCCCCCAAACUGACAGAGACCCACCUGCUUCUGCUUCCCUGGUGAUGAGAUUAAAGGCAUGUGCCACUACAUCUGGCUGAUUUGGACCUAAAAUGUCUCCCAGUGGCUACUGUCUAGAAGGUUUGAGCUGUAGUAUUGGGAAGUGGUGGAGGAAAGGAUAGUGGGGGGCGGGGGUGUGCCCUGGUCUUCUUCUCUGUCUCUAAUUACCUGCACCAUGAGCUGAGAGCUUGGCUAGGCUGUGCACUCCCAGCCCCACAUCUCUGCCCUUCCAAUAAACCCAAAUGAACUAGGCCAAGCAGACAGCAACCUCUCAACCUUUCCUUGGGGCACUCCUUCUUGCUUCUAAGUUGAUUAUCUCAGGUGGCCUGCUGCUGUCAUUCAUCUGACACAACCUUGAGUUGUGUCGUGGUAUGCUUUCUGGAAGCCCCCCCUUUGAGCUGCUAAUCCUUCGAGCGAAUCGCCACUAUUUUCGUAUUUCGUUUUACAGCCCCAGUUUUCCAGAAGCCCAGGUUGGCCUCAUUCUGCCUUUGACUCUGCCAACGGCAGGUUUGCAGGCUCUGGGGCAAUCAGCAAAUGUGCUGCAGGAUGUGAAGGAAGCUCCAAAGCAGGUGCUCCGGGACUAUUCUCAGAAAUGACAGCAUCACUAGAUUUAGUACCCAGCUUUGCCAAGGGAACGCUGUUGAAGGGGAGAAAUAUUCAUUUGAAUAUACGAAUACAGACAUAUUUAUUUUAAUACUUGGAUAAAGAAUUGAGAGUAUCAGCUAGCUUUAUAUUGAAGUGAAUAAAUACACUGCUGCAAUAAUGAUAUUUCGGAUUUUGGGUGCAAGGGUGAGGCCAUCCAAUAAGCUCUAUGUAUGUGCUUUGCGCAGCAAAGCAAGUCCUGAAGUGAUGUUUUGAAAUGAAAGCAUGCUUUUCCUGUUAGUUUGCAUAGUUAUUGAAGAUUUCCCUUUCUUGAAGGAAAAAGGAAACUUGAAACAAACAAAAAUAAAAUUAAAAUUAAAAAGCACACCAUCACCCCCAACAAAACAAAAACCCAGACUGGGAUAGCUGUGGUGGAGCAUGCCUUUAAUCCCAGCACUAGGGAGGCAGAGGGAGGUGGAUUUCUGUAAGUUCAAGGCUAGCCUGAUCUACAUAGUGAAUUCCAGGCCAGCCAGGGAUAUGCGGACUACCCUGUCUCAAAGCAAACAAACAAAAAAAUCGGACCCACUAAAUGUUAGUUCCCAAAAUAGCUCUUAGAGAUUGGGGCUGCAGCUUACUUACUUAUCAUGUGCUAGGCCCCAUGCUUAAUUUCCAACACUACAAAUAAAAUAUUUCUUGUAAUGCACACAUUUGUAAUUCCAAUAGUUGGGAAAUAGAGACAGAAGGAUUAGCUAUAUUUGAGGCCAACCUGGGCUCCAUGAGUCCUUGUUCCCCCCCAAAAAAAGUUAAAAACAAACAAACAAACAAAACCAGUCCUUGGUUUUCUUAGGGAGCAGACAUCUCAAUGUGUGCCAGAGGAUGGCCCUGUACUCACAGCCUAGAAGGAAAGACAUUCUUUCCCAAACACAAGUGCCUUCCAGUGGCAAAGAAAUCACAGGGUCGCUAUGAAUCAGUUGUUAUCCCUAAAUAAACUACCCACCACAAAUAAUCAGCAAUGUAAGGUAGGUCAACAAGAUGCUCAACAUUACUUUAAAUGAAAUGACUUGCACACCCAAGAUAAACAAAGGAAAACAGACAAUGCCUAGGUCAUGUUUUCAGAUAUGCCUUAGACACGUAUCCUCUGAGAUGCCAGGGAUGGAGCAGUUCAGGGCACAGGAACAGACCACCAAUAACUUCAACAGGGCAGUUGUGGAUAGUGCCUUCCACGAGGGUAACUUCUUAACCACAGGAAAAGAAACCCGCACCAGUAGAACACUGAAGUUUGCCUGUGGGAUGCAAUGUGCUUGUCCACCCCCUCGCCCUCCAUUUUUUCUCAGCAGCUGCCUCUGGUGGAUUAUUACUCUACAAACACCUACAUUACAUGACACAUACCUACAUUACAUGAGUUCUGCCCAAAGCACACAAGGUUGAUAUCCCUUAUGUAUUUGAAAUCUCACUCUGUGAUUAUUCCUUUUGCCCAAGUCUCUUCUUAUCACAUGCUCAAGCAAAGCAUUUCCAACCCAGGUCACAAAUAUGAGGUGUCACUUAAGCAAGACAAAGUGCUCCCCAGGACCAGGGGUCUCUUUUUUAUCACUGGGUACCUACAACUGCUCAGGAAGUUGAGACACUUGGCUGCCUCCAGGUCCUGGCAACUAACUGGUCAUCCUUCCAUUAGGUUCCCAAUAUUCCUGGGCUCGCUGAGCGCUGGGUCCCCACGUGUACUGUCUAGGGCUUCCCAAUCUGCUGUCUAGGGGAUACCCUCUUGAGAUGUCCGCGACUACCUCCCCUGAAAAGACGACACUCUCAGCACUGCCCCGCUGGCCACCUCUGCCCUUUCGUGCUCUCUGGUCCCUCAGAUCAUCAUAGCCCCUAAAUCAGUAGCCCAUGGUUUUCAGCACAACUGAGCUCCGUGUAGCAUCUCCUCGGAGUACCCUGCUCCAUUCUCCUCAAGGAGGAGCUCACGCCUUGCUCACCUUACUCUUUCCGGGGUUCCCCUCCCUCGGGCACCCCCUUCCUCCCCGUUCUUCCUCUACUAGGCAUUCCCCUCCGGGGUUCCGUUCCUCUCUGCCCUGUGGAGGGCGCCCCAAGAAUGCGCACAGGACUCCCCUCCUCUGGAUCUUGUCUCUCCUGCUCUCCGGGCUCAUACACCCACAAUUCACGACCGUGACAUCUACCCCAAACCCCAGAUCCCCAGGCUCCCAUCCCCAAGCUCCUCACUAGCUAGUCCGGAUUCCCAAGCCCCAGCCCUUCAGGGGUCUGCAGCUUCCCAACUCCAUGGUCUGGACUGUCUGUCCUGCAUUCUAAAAACGAGUAUUGAAACUCCAACAUCGGGUCCCACCCCCGGCCCCUGGGGUCGGGGCACCUGUCAAUGCGGUUCUACAUCUUCUCUGCGGAGUCGUCGGGUCAGGCGCUCCCCAACGUCUCCAUCCUGACAUCCCCGCCUCCCGAGCUCUGGCAGAGGCUCCCCAGCAUCACAGUGGAGACCUGCACCCUGCCCUGUCCCCAGACGCCGC